UACGUAGGGUGCGAGCGUUUGCCGGAAUUAUUGGGCGUAAAGGGCUCGUAGGCGGUCUGUUGCGUCGGGAGUGAAAACUCAGGGCUUAACCCUGAGCCUGCUUCCGAUACGGGCAGACUAGAGGUAUGCAGGGGAGAACGGAAUUCCUGGUGUAGCGGUGAAAUGCGCAGAUAUCAGGAGGAACACCGGUGGCGAAGGCGGCAUCCUGGACCGAAACUGACGCUGAUGCGCGAAAGCUAGGGGAGCAAACGGG
rnacentral:rRNA from 1 species